UACGUAGGGGGCAAGCGUUGUCCGGAAUCAUUGGGCGUAAAGAGCGUGUAGGCGGCCCGAUAAGUCCGCUGUAGAAAGUCCAGGCUCCAACCCGUGGGAUGCCGGUGGAUACGUGUCGGGCUCGAGUCCGGAAGAGGAGUGUGGAAUUCCUGGUGUAGCGGUGAAAUGCGCAGAUAUCAGGAGGAACACCAAUGGCGAAGGCAGCACUCUGGGACGUGACUGACGCUGAGACGCGAAAGCGUGGGGAGCAAACAGG
rnacentral:rRNA from 1 species